AUCUCAAAGCAUCAGUAGAUGAUGUACAGAUCUAGAGCAACUAUAGAUGAUCUAGAUAUUCAUCCACUUGUAUAGAUUUUAAAGCAACCAUUGAUGAUCCAAAUAUUCAUUCACUUGCUUCAAUCUUAAAGCAACAAUAAAUAAUCUAGGUGUUCAUAUAUUUGCAUAUAUCUCAAAGCACCCAAGACAAGGAUCAUCCAUCCACCUCACAGAUCUUAGAGCAACUGGUGGACUAUCUAGAUUAUUAAUCUAGUUGCAAAAUCUCAAAGCAAUCACAUUAAUGAUCUAGAUAAUUCAUCCUUCCACAUAAAUCUCAAAGCAGUUAGUAGAUGAUCGGGAUUAUUCAUCCAUCUACAU
rnacentral:lncRNA from 1 species